GCCCCGUCGCAACGCGUGUGGCGGCUCGUUCCCACGGGGAGCAAGCCGCAGCGGGCUGCCCGCGCUGCCCCCGCCGCGGGGCGGUUUUGCGGUCGGGCGGCGCUCGGGGCGCCCGGGCUGCGCUGGAGAAGGCCCAGGCCUCCGCCGAUGGCGGAAGUGGCUUUGUAGCCGCGGGGGCAGGGGGAAGCGGUAGCUGUCGCCGACCGUGGCCGGAGGCGGUUGUCCGCUAUGGCGGGCCGCGGCUCCGGGUCCUCGGAGCACCUGGAGCGGCUGCACGAGAUCUUCCGGGGAUUGCACGGAGAUCUGCGGGGCGUCCCCGAGCGGCUGCGGGGCAGCGCGGCCGAGGAGAAGAAAAAACUAGUUCGAGAAUUUGAUGAGAAGCAGCGUGAAGCAAAUGAAACGCUGCGGGAAAUGGAGGAAGAACUGAAGUAUGCUCCUCUGCCUUUCCGCAACCAAAUGAUGAGCAAAAUCCGGGCGUACAGAAGAGACCUCUCCAUGUUCCAGAGAGAGAUGAGAAGCACAGAUUUGGGAUUGGGCCCUGGAAGUCACGGCAAUAUAAAAUAUGGAAUCUUCUCCACAGAAAAUGAACAGAGUACUAAUCUGCAGUCACAGAGGGUGCUGCUUCUCCAGGGAACAGACAGCCUGAACCGAGCCAGUCAGAGCAUUGAGCGUUCGCACCGAAUUGCUGCCGAAACAGAUCAGAUCGGCACCGAUAUAAUUGAAGAACUUGGGGAGCAACGGGAGCAGCUGGAACGCACCAAGAGCAGAUUGGUGAAUACAAGUGAGAACUUGAGCAAGAGUCGCAAGAUUCUACGUUCUAUGUCCAGGAGAGUAACCACUAAUAAGUUGUUGCUGUCAAUUAUCAUCAUCCUGGAACUAAUCAUCCUCGGAGGUGUGGUCUACUACAAGUUCUUUCGCAGCAGAUGAAUCUUCAUGACCAAGAUGAGCUUUUCCACUGCUGAGGAACUGGAGGGGCUGUCUGUUCCCUUUGAUUGCCUGAGGAGUGAACUGUCUCAUGAGACAGCAUGGUCAGCUGAAAUUGUACUGACACUAGAAAGACACAGAAUGGGAGUAAAAGGAAAAUGCAGAGACAGACUUGAACUACUGCCAACUUCAUGGAUAAUACACAACCCGGAAUAUGCACCAGCCAAAUGGGAGAGGAAAAAACCAAACCAACAUCAAAUCAAUGACUGACACAAAGCUUUUCAUUCUGAAGCAAACACAAGCAGAUGGUGUCCUCCAUUAGCAUGGGGAAGGGAAGAGAAUCAGAACUGACCUACUGCAAGGAAUGCUCUGACUACACGUACUUUCACUGCGGGCAUUUUUCUAGUAACUUCUAAGGCAAGUUGUAAUCAUGCAAAUAUCAAAGAGUACAACAUGCAAAAGGAUAAGCCAUAACUGCUGUCAGAGCACACUCCCCCACGUCGAGGGGCUUAGCUUCCUGUGCUCAAGGUGAACUAGCCGAUGAGGCCUGUUGUGAAGAAGCAACCUAGAAAUGGCCUCAGUGGAGGCCUCCCCAAAACAGCUCUCCUCCAAAGCCAGGCUCCUCCUGGCUGCCUUCCCUCAUGGAGUGGAGCAGCACCUGCCCUUGAUGCGUUCUGUCAACUGGCAUGAUUUCAAAGGCUCACUGCAAAUGCCAGUUACGACCAGCCCAUUUGACUGUGCUUUGAUUUUUGUCAAACUACUGGGCUUUGUAGCUAACUAACCAUGGCUAAUCAACACUUGAGAGGUAAACAAGAAAAAUAGAGUCUCUUGGAUCUCUCUCUAUUUCUGUAUAAAUAAAAAAGGUCACUUAUUCUAGUUAUGGAAGCUGCAGUAAGCAUGUUUUAUUGCUAUUAAACAGAAAUGAUUGUGCAUGCUUGUGUCUAAGGGAAAGAAAGGUAAAAGAAGAGGACUGCCAUUUACCUGUUCUCUUUCAGGGGGAAGGUGUGCCUGGGUAAGAUAAAGGGCAUUCCCAUUUCUACUUUGUAGGGCAGAAGACCUAGCUGUUAGUCUAACACCUUUAUGCUAGAUCCUAACCACUCUUUUCCCGAGAAUGUUGCUAGCAAAUUAAUACUUAGCUUUGACAGUACUGACAGCAGAUGUGAUCAGAAAGAACCCAUAAACAGUAGCAUUUCUCAUCUCAAUAAUAUAGAGAUUUAACUAAACAUGCUGCUUAAAAUGCCACAGUUAUUUAAAAUUGUCUGUCUCCCAUUUCAACUUUAUUAACAGCAGAAAAUGUGAGGAAAGAGGCUAAAAAAGACAGAUCUUCAUGUUACCUAUACAAUAAAUUUAGACUUUACUGGAAUUCUACAGAUUAGAGAUACUUGACUAGCUCUACUAAACUAGAAAGUCUUAAAAAGUUUAAAAUACUGAGCUUUGAAGAGAAACAAUUGAGAUAAGAGCUAGUGCAAAGCUAAACGAGAUUCUAACCCAAGAAUACUGAAUUCCCGACAGAUCUUGUUUCUGUAGCUUGACAAAGAUCCAUUUAUGUUAAGCUGUAAGUCCAAUCUUAACUCAAAUAUAGGGCAAGUAGAAUGGUACAGUUUAUCAAAGACUUCAGGGAUACAGGCAACUCUUUCAACACAUAUUUAUUGGAUGGGUUGAUGAAAAUUAUUUUCCCAGCACUACAGCUGUAACUCUUGCUAGUCCACAUCUGCUGAACCCUAGCAUCAGUACUUCAUUAUGCAUCCCUUGGUGCAUAAUUGAAAGACUAUUUAUCUUCCUCUUAAAAAUUCUUUACCCAAGAAGAUUAGGUGGAAAAAGAGGAGAUAUAUGUAGAAGAAGCUGCUUCAUGAUUUAUUGUUAAGACUGAAACUAACCAUAUGAGCAACACUGAUGAGAAAGUUGAAUUGCUAUUUUUGGCAACAGAUGUCAGUAGGAGUCUGAUGGUUUUAGGCAAAACAGGAGCAUAUCUCCAGUCACAUGGGGAUUAGCAGCUCCAUUCCUCUUUUAGAGGGGGUUACUCCUUUCUGAGUCACUACACUGACCUCCUGAAUCCUAUUACUGAAGAGCUUUGUUUCGGUCAAACAAAAAAGAGUAGUAAUAUGAUGGUCGUUAUCUUUGACAAGUCUAGCUCUACUUCUAAGUCACAUGUCUCCUGCAGUCCACUAACUUGACAAACCAGCAACUCUGAUCCAAACUUUAUUAAUCUAUUCUAGAGUAAUCCAACCCCAAGUUCAACUAAACUCAGCAACCCUGCCACAUCCAGCUCUAAAUAAAGAAAAGAAGGAAAAAGAAAAAAAAAAAGAAAUCAACAACAGUGAAAACUCAAGAAUAAAUACUUGUGAAGAAAUUUUAUACUAACAUUGUGCCAUAUUAGCAACAGCAGAGGUGCUCUAAGUCACCUCAAGGGCUAUAGUAAUUAACACAACAGCUAUCUAUUACUUCUUACAAAAAAUGUGAGAGGACUUCAAGUAAGAGGACUCUGGAUUUAAGUUUGAUCAGAUUCACUGCUUAAUCUGCAGCAAACAGAAUAGGUUCAAGAAAUUCUCACUUUAAAGAACUUUAUACUUUGCAUCUUCUAUAGCUUAGGUCAAGUGCAUCUUUCACUUAUCUUCCCCACUCCUUCCCACCAGAAGUCCAAGAACCCGGACAUAUUGCAUCCAUUUAUCUUCAUUGCCAGAAGAAUACAUAGCCCUACAAGCUUUGUACUCUUUCCUCCCCCGUGCCAGGGAGUUAUGGGCCUCUCUUUUCAUACUGCAAUUUUUCUUCUUUAGCAGGAUGGAAGAGUCCUUUAAGGUCUUAAUAUUUUAGUUUCCCUUAGGAGAAGGGGCAAAGCCAAAAGAAAAACAUCACCAAGGUGAAUAAAAAGCCUUACAGGCUUAGUUAUAUUUUAAAUUAUCCCUGCUACAGACUUGCACACCCACUGUUUUUGGCUUAGGAGCUGGAUUCCUACUACAUUAACUCUCCUCCUGACUACACCUUGAACUACUACCAACACGUGACUGUUCUCUCUGCUUCUAACAAGGGGAUAAGAGUCAAGUUAGCGGCUCAGAUUCAUCUCUGGCAGUUUGGUACAGACUAGCAAUACCAUCUGCCUGUGAGCUCCCUCCUCAUAUUUCUGCCUAAGCAUAAACUGUUCAUAGGCAGUCAUCAUAUUAGGCAGCCAAGAAUUUAUCACACCAUGUAGGUAUAGUCAGUCUCUUUCAAGGGAGGGAUUCCCUCUGAAAAAAACCAGAAAACAGAGCAGCAGCUCAGAACACUACAAUAGGACUAUGGAAGAAGAGAAAUUAGAAUAGGGUGAAAGGAACAAUAAAAUUCCCUCCCAAAGAUACCAGCCAGUGAAAGCAAAAUGCAAAAUAGUGCAAAAAGGAGGAAACAAAGGUCUAGUGUUCUCACUCUGAUGCAGCCACUCUGUUUCAAGGCCAGGUUGGAUGGGGCUUUGGGCAACCCGGUCUAGUGGAGGGUCUCCCUGCACACGGCAGGGGGGUUGGAACUAGAUGAUCUUUAAGGUCCCUUCCAACCCAAACCAUUCUAUGUAGCUUGACCACUAUCAAUGAAAGUCAUUAAAUCAGGCAUACAAACAUAUGAAAAGCCAUGUGGUUGCUUGAUAUUCAAAGUAACAAAGAGUAAAACAAACAAGCGCAGUGCAUGCAUCUUACUACCUGAAUGCUACAUUUUAGAGGAUGCUUCAGAGCAUCUUCAUUUUAUGCAGGUCAAACUGAAGUUGAAUAUAUGAAUGAAAAAAUAAAUCAAAGUUUACAAUUUCAGGCAAACAGAAGAAUCUGAUCACCAGAAAUCUCUUCCACUUGAAACAAGUGAGAGCAAUUUUAUAUGAGAGUUACUGUUAAUACAGAGUUGUCACUACAGGAACACUUUCCACCACCUAUACUUCCUAAGACUGCUCAGAAUCCAUCCUUGCUCUUUUACUGAGAAGCAUCAUUCCACAGCUGUUCUCAUGUCUGGUUGUAAGCUUGCAAUGGCAUGGAAAAUCAUGUUUAUAGCACUUCUUGACAUCCCAGCUGGGAAUGGGAGCAUGCAGCCACAGCAACACACACUCCCACCCACAUACAAAGACCCUAUGGACACACAUGCUUCAGAAGUAGCCAAUGCAGAUGGGAGAACAGAAGCUCUAUUUCUUAGAUAAACGUUGUUUCUUUUUAAAGGAGAAACCUGGUCUGCUGCAGUAUUGUUUACCUGCUCCUUGAAGACAAGCAACAAGGUCUCACAAAAAUUAUUAUUUUAGCAUAACAGAAAUAGAAUAUCCAGGUUAAUAAUGAGAAUAAUACUGGAGCUCUAUUCUCUUCUUCAAUGUAUGAAAAGAAAAUUCAUAAUGUUAGAAAGAUAAAGAAGAAAGCAGCUAAAGUUUUACUGCCAGUUCAGUGUACUACAGGAGUCCAAGCAAUGGCACUAUUAUCACAGUACUACAGACAAAGCUAUCCUGCCAGCCCAGGGAAGAAAAAUAAACAGCCCUCACACAAAAGCAAUCAUUUGUUAAGUUUCCAUGAACAACAGAUGUACACAAUACAAAAGGCUACAUGGUAGUGUCCUCAGUCUACCACCCUACCCUCAAGCAGAUUGUCUUUGCAAGAUAGACAACUCCUCUGUGUAUGCUGGUGACGGUCAUUGUUUCAGGAUGGGCCUUCACAGCAGAACCUGUUACAAUCCAUGUGCCAUCCGAACCUGCUCAUAAGAGAGCUGCAGAGAUAUAAGCAGCAAUAAACAUCAACACUGACUGGAAAAAAAAAACCCCACAACAAAACCCUACUCCAGUGGAAGAACAUGUCAGCAAUAGGAAAAUGAAACUGCAGGAGAAAGAAGUUCUAGAGUCUUUAAAAAUUAUAAGGGAACAGCAAGAAAAUAUCUCCAUGUGCAUUACUGAUUAAUGAGUAAAUAGUCCAUAAGCAACUAAACCAUGAAAGUAUUUUUCACCUUCAACUUACUUUUUAGGUUAGCUUGCUUCAUUUCUAUCCCCACAACUUUUUGUUACUGGAAUCCAGAAAUAGCUUAUAUUCUCCUUUCUUUCUACUUUCUCCAAGUUCCUAUUGAAGUGAGCUGUGUCAUGCAAAUGAAUUUUUUCCUAGGUUUUUUCCCCCAAAAAAGAAUUCUUACCAAAAGGAAGUAUUAGAUCUGAACUACUUGAAAGAGAACUCCAAGCCUUUCAGUAUAAAGUUCUGUCAUCGACACAAAAAUAAACUGCUGCCUACAGUCUUGUCUAGAAUAACAUUCUCCUUUCAAACCUGGUAACCUGUUAGUUUUAAAUAGACCCUAAGCUUGGGAACAUGCAGACCUGCUUUAAUUCCAGUAUAUAAGACCUCUUUUAGCCAUCCUCUUCUAUGUUUGUAGAGGUUAUAGAUCAUGCUUACUAGAAUUCAAAUAUUGUCAAGGACAGCAUAUAUCUCAAGUUUGCACAAAACAAGACAGGAAAAGAAUUUCUACUCAUUUGGUUGCAAACUGGGACUCUUCAGCUUGUGAAUCCUAAGAUAUGCAGGAUAAGCCUACAGGGCUGCACAGAACAAUACCUUCUGUUAUAAAGGGGUCUUAUAAUUCAGAAUAAAUUUGCUAUAGGGUUAUUAGGCCAUUAUCUUUCCUCUGCAUGCAUCUAAACUCCACUGGCACUAAUCAGACAGAGAGCAGAUAGCAUAGUUCUUUCUGUGGUCCACUCCUGCAAUCCACCCCCAUCAUACAGUUUUCAGCAACACUUUUUGGAUUAAAGGUUCUCCAAGACAGAGUUCAGCUCUACAAGUUUCUAUCCCUCAUGCCCUGUUUCUAAUAACCACAAUACAGUUUUCUGCAGGUUUCGGCUUGUAGAAGUGAUAGGUGUGAGAAGCUGAGACACAACCAAGUGCAUGGAUUUGCUGGAAUAACUAUAGAGGUAACAGUGAAAAGACCAGAAACUUUCUAUUCAUGCAGUGCUAUUCGCAAGUGUUUUCAAAGCAAAGCUUCAGACAAGACCUCAUACACAAAUCCGAGGAUUUCUCCAGAAAGUUCUGAAUUUCAUCACCUGAAAGCAUACAAGUAUUUUAGGAACAAGCUAAGUAGCUGGUACUGAACGUGGAAAAAGAAAGCCCAUGAUACAAGAAAUCGAGGAACACAGUCAAGGGUAUUAUUUGACUGGAUACACUGAGCACACAUAACGUUUUAAAGAAAAGCUAGAGAAACGUGAGGCCAUUAAGUCAACAUGGGAAUAGCACGCACUCUGUAUGCCAACACAGAAGACAGACUGGUACACCCAGCAGUUUCUGGGAGGCCGGAGAACAUCGCGCUCGGCGAGCCGUGAGAGCCAGCCUCUCUUUGUUCGGGGAACCCCGCGAGGCCCGCGGUGCGGCUGUGCCCUCCUCCGGGUACUUCACCAGCGGCUGAACGGCACGCACAAGCUGGUAUGCGACAAGCCUCUCUGCCGAUACCGCAGAACCGCGGCAAGGCAUCGCCUUCCCCCGGGCAUCGGUAGCUCAGGGGUGGUUUGGGUUUCGUUAGUCACUGAAGGAACCGUUUCC